UACGUAGGGUGCGAGCGUUAAUCGGAAUUACUGGGCGUAAAGCGUGCGCAGGCGGUUGGGUAAGACAGGUGUGAAAUCCCCGAGCUUAACUUGGGAACUGCACUUGUGACUGCUCAACUAGAGUAUGUCAGAGGGAGGUGGAAUUCCAAGUGUAGCAGUGAAAUGCGUAGAUAUUUGGAAGAACACCGAUGGCGAAGGCAGCCUCCUGGGAUAAUACUGACGCUCAUGCACGAAAGCGUGGGGAGCAAACAGG
rnacentral:rRNA from 1 species